rnacentral:rRNA from 1 species
UUUUUNGGCNUNNGGUUUUUGGAACCGGCUGGGAAGGCGUGCAUUUUUUUCUUGGUAGGAGUCGCGAUCCGUUGGGCGUCGNUCUAAGGAACGUGUGGAGCCCGCCAGCGGUUAAACGCAAGGUGGACCCGCGUCGCCCGGCCGACUCGCUNGACGGUAUACGAAAAGAUCAAAGGCCGCCGUUACGGCGUUCGGGUCGUGGCAAGCGCGUCAGACGCGUCGGUGAUCGGACUAGUGCCGAUUCUGACCUCUGGCGACUGUUGGCCGCGAAGUUCUCGAACAGACCUCUCGAUCGAUCUGCGACGCUAUAGCUUUGGGUACUUUCAGGACCCGUCUUGAAACACGGACCAAGGAGUCUAGCAUGUGCGCGAGUCAUUGGGAAUCAAUAAACCUAAAGGCGCAAUGAAAGUAAAGGUCUUCCUUGCGAGGACCGAGGGAAGACGGGCGGUUUACCCUUAAAAGUGGCCGCCCCGCAUUCCCGGGGCGUCUCGUUCUCAUCGCGAGAAGAGGCGCACCAAGAGCGUACACGCUGGGACCCGAAAGAUGGUGAACUAUGCCUGGUCAGGACGAAGUCAGGGGAAACCCUGAUGGAGGUCCGUAGCGAUUCUGACGUGCAAAUCGAUCGUCGGAACUGGGUAUAGGGGCGAAAGACUAAUCGAACCAUCUAGUAGCUGGCCC